GGGGGCGUUAGGAUUCGACGGGGACGUGAAUCUUUAGAGUGCAUGCCGUGUGCCGUCAACACGAUAAAAGGCGGAAAAACACAAACGCAAACGACGAAUUUGCACUAGCAGCUUAAAGUUGCUACGCCUCUCCUGUAUAAGCCUGCGAUACGGAGAAGGCGUCAUAAUGCGGGCUGGCAUCUGAUUAGUACCCUGAAAUCAGAUGUAAGAUUCAAGGGAGUAGGGCUAAAAGAGCCUGUCUGACAGCGCUUUAAAACCCGAAAAUCAAUAGUCAGACUAAGCAUGUAGAGUUUAAAGUGUAGUGUUUUCGGACGCGGGUUCGAUUCCCGCCGCCUCCACCA
rnacentral:tmRNA from 1 species